CGCUGUUCUUGUGCGUUGACGCAUUUUUCGUGCCUUGGUGCAUUUCUGGUGCCUUGACGCAUUCCUGGUGCCUU
ensembl:ncRNA Y43F8A.10 ncRNA